UACGAAGGGGGCUAGCGUUGCUCGGAAUCACUGGGCGUAAAGGGCUCGUAGGUGGCCAACUAAGUCAGACGUGAAAUCCCUCGGCUUAACCGGGGAACUGCGUCUGAUACUGGAUGGCUGGAGUAUGGGAGAGGAAUGCGGAAUUCCAGGUGUAGCGGUGAAAUGCGUAGAUAUCUGGAGGAACACCGGUGGCGAAGGCGGCAUUCUGGACCAUUACUGACGCUGAGGAGCGAAAGCCAGGGGAGCAAACGGG
rnacentral:rRNA from 1 species